CACGUAGGGCGCAAGCGUUGUCCGGAAUUAUUGGGCGUAAAGAGCUCGUAGGCGGUCUGUUGCGUCCGCUGUGAAAACUCGGGGCUUAACCCCGAGCCUGCAGUGGAUACGGGCAGACUAGAGGUAGGUAGGGGAGAAUGGAAUUCCCGGUGUAGCGGUGAAAUGCGCAGAUAUCGGGAGGAAUACCGGUGGCGAAGGCGGCAUCCUGGACCGACAUUGACGCUGAACGGCGAAAGCUAGGGGAGCAAACGGG
rnacentral:rRNA from 1 species